AAGGCCACAAGCCAAAGAAGUCUAAAGUACUAACUACAAAUAACAUCGAGACGUUUUUAAACGAAGCACCCAACUUCAUUUAUUUGUUAAUGAAAGUGGUUCUUAUCUUUGGGCUUAAUGGUGCCUGCCGUGGAAGUGAACUAGUAAAUGUAACUGUUGAUAAUGUUCAAAAACAUUCUGUAGAUGUAAUAUUAGUAAUUUUGUCUAACACAAAGACAAAGAGGUCAUUUGUAAUUAAGGGAGAAAAUAAACAAAUUGUUGAAAGGUACCAAGCACUUCGGCCUUCUGACUAGACUAAUUUAUCCAAUAUCGAGAUGGAAAAUGUGUGAGACAGGUAAUUGGGAAGAAUACAUUAUACACGAUUGCACGAUUUUUAAAAUUAGAAAAUCCGGAAAUGUACAUGGGACACUGCUUUAGACGUACAUCUGCUACUAUUCUGGCCGACUCCGGAGCAGAUCUAACUC